rnacentral:precursor_RNA from 1 species
AGCUGGCCUGGUUAAUUCUUGGAUGGGAGACCACCUGUGAAUACCGGGUGCUGUAGGCUUU